rnacentral:tRNA from 1 species
GGGGCCAUAGCUCAGUUGGGAGAGCGCCUGCAUGGCUAGCAGGAGGUCGCCGGUUCAAGUCCGGCUGGCUCCACCA